AUUGAACGCUGGCGGCAGGCCUAACACAUGCAAGUCGAGCGAGCGGCGGACGGGUGUGUAAUGCCUGGAAAUUGCCCAGUAGAGGGGGAUAACCGUUGGAAACGACUGCUAAUACCGCAUACGAUUGGAUUGCCCAGGUGGGAUUCGCUAGUUGGUGGGGUAAUGGCUCACCAAGGCGACGCUCCCUAGCUGGUCUGAGAGGAUGACCAGCCAAACUGGAACGGAGACACGGUCCAGACUCCUACGGGAGGCAGCAGUGGGGAAUAUUGCACAAUGGGGGCAAGCCUGAUGCAGCCAUGCCGCGUGUGUGAAGAAGGCCUUCGGGUUGUAAAGCACUUUCAGCGAGGAGGCGUUACUCGCAGAAGAAGCACCGGCUAACUCCGUGCCAGCCGCCGCGGUAAUAC
rnacentral:rRNA from 1 species